UCAUCAUAAUCGUAUGAGAAGUGAUGGGAAGAUGAUAGGGAUGCGGAAGGAGGAAUCGGAGAAAUCGGAGGGGGAUGUUGGGGAUCAGGAAGAGGAUACGGGAGGGGAUGGGGAAAAGAAGGAAGC
rnacentral:ribozyme from 1 species